rnacentral:rRNA from 1 species
UACAGAGGGUGCAAGCGUUAAUCGGAAUUACUGGGCGUAAAGCGUGCGUAGACGGUUACAUAAGUCGGGUGUGAAAGCCCCGGGCUCAACCUGGGAAUUGCAUUCGAGACUGCGUAGCUAGGGUGCGGAAGAGGGAAGCGGAAUUUCCGGUGUAGCGGUGAAAUGCGCAGAUAUCAGGAGGAACACCGGUGGCGAAGGCGGUUCUCUGGGCAUUACCUGACGCUGAGGAGCGAAAGUGUGGGGAGCGAACAGG